UAAUACGAAGGGGGCGAGCGUUAUUCGGAAUCACUGGGCGUAAAGAGUGUGUAGGUGGCAAUUUAAGUCAGUCGUUAAAGAUCACGGCUUAACCGUGAGAGUGCGAUUGAUACUGGGUAGCUAGAGGACAAGAGAGAGAAGUGGAAUUCUCGGAGUAGCGGUAAAAUGCGUAGAUCUCGAGAGGAACACCGAUUGCGAAGGCAGCUUCUUGGCUUGUUACUGACACUGAGACACGAAAGCGUGGGGAGCAAACAGGAUUAGAUACCCUGGUAGUCCACGCCGUAAACGAUGAUCACUAGAUGUGGGCUGGGUUUAUCCCGAUCCGUGUCGAAGCUAACGCGUUAAGUGAUCCGCCUGGGGAGUACGGUCGCAAGAUUA
rnacentral:rRNA from 1 species